rnacentral:rRNA from 1 species
AUUGAACGCUGGCGGCAGGCCUAACACAUGCAAGUCGAACGAGUGGCGGACGGGUGAGUAAUGUCUGGGAAACUGCCUGAUGGAGGGGGAUAACUAAUGGAAACGGUAGCUAAUACCGCAUACCAUCGGAGGUGCCCAGAUGGGAGUAGCUAGUAGGUGGGGUAAAGGCUCACCUAGGCGACGAUCCCAAGCGGGUCUGAGAGGAUGACCAGACCCACUGGAACGGAGACACGGUCCGUACUCCUACGGAAGGCAGCAGUGGGGAAUAUUGCACAAUGGGCGCAAGCCUGAUACAGCCAUGCCGCGUGUAUGAAGAAGGCCUUCGGGUUGUAAAGUACUUUCAGCGGUGAGGCGUUACCCGCAGAAGAAGCACCGGCUAACUCCGUGCCAGCAGCCGCGGUAAUAC